UACAGAGGUCCCAAGCGUUGUUCGGAUUCACUGGGCGUAAAGGGUGCGUAGGUGGUGGGGUAAGUUUGAUGUGAAAUCUCCGAGCUUAACUCGGAAAUGGCAUUGAAUACUACUCUGCUAGAGGAUUGGAGGGGAGACUGGAAUUCCUGGUGUAGCGGUGGAAUGCGCAGAUAUCAGGAGGAACACCGGUGGCGAAGGCGGAUCCUGGCCAGUACUGACGCUGAGGAGCGAAAGCGUGGGAGCAAACAGG
rnacentral:rRNA from 1 species